UACAGAGGGGGCAAGCGUUGUUCGGAAUUACUGGGCGUAAAGGGCGCGUAGGCGGCCUUCUAAGUCGAACGUGAAAUCCCUGGGCUCAACCCAGGAACUGCGUCCGAUACUGGAAGGCUUGAAUCCGGGAGAGGGAUGCGGAAUUCCAGGUGUAGCGGUGAAAUGCGUAGAUAUCUGGAGGAACACCGGUGGCGAAGGCGGCAUCCUGGACCGGUAUUGACGCUGAGGCGCGAAAGCCAGGGGAGCAAACGGGAUUAAGAA
rnacentral:rRNA from 1 species